GAUCCUGGCUCAGGAUGAACGCUAGCUACAGGCUUAACACAUGCAAGUCGAGGGGCAGCAUGAACUUAGCUUGCUAAGUUUGAUGGCGACCGGCGCACGGGUGAGUAACACGUAUCCAACCUGCCAAUGACUCGGGGAUAGCCUUUCGAAAGAAAGAUUAAUACCCGAUGGCAUAGUUCUUCCGCAUGGUGGAACUAUUAAAGGAUUUUCGGUCAUCGAUGGGGAUGCGUUCCAUUAGGUUG
rnacentral:rRNA from 1 species